GUGAGUGUAGCUCAGUCAGUUAGAGCAUCAGAUUGAGGUCCUGAGGGUCGUGGGUUCAAUUCCCAUCACUCACCCCA
rnacentral:tRNA from 1 species